GUGCUGUAUGAAAGAAGGGAGAGUGAGCACUCCGCUUGAUAAGGAUGGAAGGGACCCGAGUGUCCUUACAACUCACAACUGGUCAAGGCAUUGCCAUCUACUUAGUCACAUCUCACCAUAAUUUUGG